AUGAGCCUUCUCCUUGCCUUGGAGCUGCUGCUGCUCCUGCUUGCCUUGCCACGCCUUUCUUGUAGGAGUACCUCAAAUUCAACGCAUCCGUCGCUAGAUCGGCAAGCAGAUGCACUUCUCCGAUGGAAAGCUGGCCUAUACAUAAGAGAAAUCUAUCAUUUGGACUCAUGGACAAAGGGAACCAGCCCCUGUGACUACUGGACCGGUGUUACCUGCAGCAACGCCGUGCUGCCUCGUGGCGGUGACCGGGGUGAUGCCGCCUUAGUUGUGUCCAACCUUUCGCUUGUGGAGUUUGGCCUUGAAGGCAGGUUGGAUAGGCUCCACUUUGAAGACCUGCCCCAUCUUGUCCAUCUGGACUUCUUUUACAACAAUCUCAGAGGCCCAAUCCCAUCAAGCAUGGGCACUCUCGCUAAACUCCAAUACCUGGAUCUCUCUGGCAACUAUCUUCAUGGAUUCAUCCCAACAUCCCUAGACUUACCCCAUCUUGUGCAUCUGGACCUCAGUUACAACAAUCUCUCGGGCCCAAUCCCGUCAAGCAUUGGUGCUCUUGCCAAGCUCGAAUACUUGGAUCUGUCCAGCAAUUACCUGAACGGAUGUAUCCCAACACCCCUAGGUGAUUGUACUACACUAACUUCCAUAGAUCUCUAUUACUACUACCUCCUCUCGGGCGGAAUCCCAUCAAGCAUUGGUGCUCUUGCCGAGCUCACUCACUUGGAUCUAUCCUUCAAUGAGCUUAACGGAUCAAUCCCAACAUCCCUAGGAAAUCUAACGAGUUUAUAUCACCUAGAUCUUUCAAACAACUGGAUCACGGCUUCCAUUGGAAGCAUAGGAAAUCUAACGAGUUUAUAUCACCUAGAUCUUUCAAACAACCGGAUCACGGGUUCCGUUGGAAGCAUAGGAAAUCUAACAAGUUUAGAAUUCUUGGAUCUUUCGAACAAUCAAAUAAAUGGUUCCAUCUUGACAUUCUCGAAAUUGAUAUCUCUUACAACACUAUCACUUAAGUCCAAUCAGCUUAAUGGAAUGUUACCGCCAGAGUUAGGAUCUCUUGUUCUUCUCUCACAUAUGGAUCUAAGUAGAAAUCAAUUUUCAGGAAGUAUUCCACCUCAGAUUGGACAUUGUUACUCUUUAUCAUCGUUACUCCUGUCAGACAACUUAUUGACAGGACAGAUACCACGACAACUUGGGUAUCUUGACAACCUACAUGAGCUUGAUUUGAGUAAAAACAAUUUAAGCAGUGCCAUCCCAACGACUUUUUCUGUUUAUUACCAACUGUGGAAGCUGAAUUUAUCAUAUAAUAAUUUGGAUGGCAGAGUUCCAUUUAUCGCUGCCACCUUGAUCUCACUUGACCAUAAUACAAACUUAUCUGGUGAUUCGUAUGGCUUAACUCCAUGUGACACACCAAAGCAAGACAUGGAACACCAAAAAAGGAAACAUCCAAGUAUGGUACUUCUUGCUCUUUUUGCACCCUUUUCAUUUGCUUGCCUCUCAAUUGUAAGCAUCACGAUCAUCCGUCAGAGAAGAAAGGAUGUAAAAAGUACAAGCAAAAGCAAGUCUGGAGAUAUAUUUUCCAUAUGGAAUUUUGAUGGAAAGAUCGCGUUCGAAGACAUCAUCAGCGCAACAGAAAAUUUUGAUGACAAAUAUUGCAUUGGUGUUGGAGGAUACGGAUCUGUCUUCAGAGUUCAUCUUGAAGACGGGAUUAUCUUUGCCGUCAAGCUCCUUCAGUCAGUGAAAGAAUACAACAACGAGGGAACAUUUCAUGCCGAGAUUGAAGUGUUGACAAAAAUCAGGCACCGAUGCAUCGUCAAGCUUUAUGGCUUCUGUUCCCACUCCCAGUACAAAUUCCUCGUGUAUGAGCUUAUCGAGAGGGGAAGCUUAUCAUCCACUAUGCACGAGCAAGAGCUAGCAAAGGAGCUGGAUUGGCCCAAGAGAGUUUCUGUUGUGGUGGACGUAGCUCAAGCUCUCUCCUGCUUGCACCAUGAUUGCGGCGAUCCAAUCGUGCACCGCGACAUAAAAAGCAGCAACAUUCUUCUGGACCUUGAUUAUAAGGCUUAUGUUUUAGACUUUGGCAUGGCAAGGAAAUUGAAGCAUGGUUACUCAAGAUGGAGCACUAUUUUUGCAGGCACAUGUGGCUACAUAGCCCCCGAGUUGUCAUCUACCAUGGUGUUGACUGAGAAGUGCGACGUGUAUAGCUUCGGCGUGGUUGCGCUGGAAGUUUUGAUGGGAAAGCACCCAGGUGAUCUGCUCCUUCCGUUCUUUUGCCGAACAAAGGUGCCAGGGAAGGUCAAGGAUAUCCUGGAUCAACGUAUCGCAGCACCGUCAACCAUUGACGAGGAGAAGGAUGCCAUUUUGGUUACCUUGGUGGCCUUUGCUUGCCUGCAAGUCAAUCCCAAAGCCCGGCCAACAAUGCAGCAGGUAUAUCAGGCACUGACAAAUAGAAAUCGCCCAACAUUCAUUCCCAGGCCCCUUCAUGAAAUCAGGCUACAAGAUUUGCAUGAUUAUUGUGGUGCCAUAAAGAAUAUAUGA
rnacentral:rRNA from 1 species